AACGAACGCUGGCGGCAGGCUUAACACAUGCAAGUCGAACGCCCCGCAAGGGGAGUGGCAGACGGGUGAGUAACGCGUGGGAAUCUACCCAGUUCUACGGAACAACUGGGGGAAACUCCAGCAAAUACCGUAUACGCCCUACGGGGGAAAGAUUUAUCGGAAUUGGAUGAGCCCGCGUAAGAUUAGCUAGUUGGUGGGGUAAAGGCCUACCAAGGCGACGAUCUUUAGCUGGUCUGAGAGGAUGAUCAGCCACACUGGGACUGAGACACGGCCCAGACUCCUACGGGAGGCAGCAGUGGGGAAUAUUGGACAAUGGGCACAAGCCUGAUCCAGCCAUGCCGCGUGAGUGAUGAAGGCCUUAGGGUUGUAAAGCUCUUUCAGUGGGGACGAUAAUGACGGUACCCACAGAAGAAGCCCCGGCUAACUUCGUGCCAGCCGCCGCGGUAA
rnacentral:rRNA from 1 species